GAAGAUUUCAGCCAGCACAUGUGCGAUGUCACUUGACUGCUUCUUCUGAGUUAAUUUUGGCGGACAAGUUGCUGGUGGUCUUCGUUUUUGGAAGUUGUAAGAGGUGGAAAUUCUGAGGAUUUCUACUGUUCCACUGCCUCAAAGUUCGUAGACACACUUCCAAUCUCCUCAGUGUGUUGAAGAAGAAAUUAGGCUCUGCAGGAAGGGAACUUUGCAUACUUUUGGCCCACAGCAACUGUUGAAAAGAGGAGGGAGAUCAUCCUCAGGGCAAUUGGUUUCUACCUUAUGAAGACCCAAACAUCCUCUUUAAAGAACACCCGGUUGGUAAUUUCAGUAGUUACUACCUGCAUUAAACCAAACGGCUACAGUUGUGGUCAAAAGUUUACAUACGCUUGUAAACAACAUGUAUUUCAUGACAGUUAAAACCAAAUGCCAUCAAAUACAUGAAAAUGAAUUGUGAUUUUUCCUGAAAUAAAGAAACAAAAAACAGACAGCUUGUUACAUCCCUGGCUUGUCUAGGGGUGGGGGACUAACAAAGAGAUAAAUAAACCGGGUGGAAAAACAAAGGAUGACCCAAAAUGUGUCAAGUUAAUGUAAUUAUUCUAAGUUAGUAACAAAAAAGGUGUUUUAACAACUGAAGGUGAUCUCUGCUCACAUUAGAGACGAUAUGGGGUUUGUUAUGUAAAGUAAAUUAAUUAAGAUAUUUAGCGGAAAAUAUGCAACACAAUACAGAGUCUCUACGGCUCCCACCGCGCUGGUGAGGCAUAUGUGGAGAUCGACGCUCCUCAUCACACCGGCUUCUAGCUGGUCGUGAACACGGGGCCGAUGGCUGCCUCCGCAGAGUCACCAGACGCACGGCGUGAGUAAUUAAGAUCGGCAUCCAGCAGAUCACGUCUCGCUACGGACCACACAAUAAACCACACAGUAAGUCAACCACACUGUAAGCCACACAAUAAGUCACACAGUCUAACGCGAGCAACCACGGAAGACUGAGCCUGAGAGCUCUUCACUGGCUCAGCUUAUGUGCCCCACUGAUUGCCGCUGAUCAGCUCCAGCUGCGGGAUUUACGCAGCGCCAGGCUCAGGGCCCAGGUACACACCUGCAGAAAAGAGACAAGCACAACCCACAGACCUCACGGGUCGUAACACAGCUGUUUGAAUAACGGCUGCUACUAAACUUUCACAUGAUCAACAAAAUCAAUAUGCAACUAACGUUAAUGAUUUUCGCCCGCACACUGUGCAGCACGGUGGCACAUAGCUAACGUCCUCUCCUCCUUCACAGGACAGCUACGUGACAGGUGGCAGUAGGUGACGGUGAAAAUGAGCAGAGGAAAAUAUGAGUGCUACAUUUUAGUCUGGCUGUAAAUGUACAGUGUAGGUUACAGUUUGUCCGUAUUGACAUAGAUGAGGGGGGCAGAAUAAUAGAAACAGUAAAAGUAAAGAUUUAUGGCAGAGCUGUUAGAUUGCAGUAGACUGCAUGCCCUCCAAAUAAAGUGCUUGGUGAGGUAUAUUAAAUAAUACACAAUUGGAUCUAAUAUUUAAUUCACCAGCACUACUUCAUCUUGUAAUUUUUAAACACAUAGCACUGUAUCAUGCUAUUUUUGUUCAAUCAUUACAUAAAGGACACCUGAAAUGCAAACAUUACUCUUUAGAAUUCUGCAAAAUCUGUUUGUGACUUCAUAAUUUGUUUUUCUACUUUCUUUCUGUCCUAUGUAAAGGAUCUGAUGCUACAGCCGUUCCGAGGGAGCUUGGACAAGUUAUCUUUACAGCAUCCGUGUUGAGGGAGGUGAUGCUACCGCUCCUCCAGCUGAUGUUGGGAUAGUCACCGAGGGUGCUGAAGUUCUGCAUGACUUGGGAGACAUCGCCUCUACACGUGCACUCUUAAUAGGUGUAAUUAUGCACUGAAGCUCAGUUAUCCUCAGAACCUUAAAGCCUUCUUUGAGGUACUUCACAAGUGAUUCUUUCAACUAGAUGCUAGCAAACUCUCAACCAAGGUACAGAUGCUCAAGAACAAACUCUAUGAAUGAGCCAUUGAUUUGGAGGCUGUGUUCUGUGGAAUUGGCAGAAUUCUAAGCAGUGCAUCAUCAAAAUUGUUGACAACUAAACAUUAUUUUGCAAACUUUUCAACACUUUAUAGUGCUGAUAAUUUUACUGUAUUAUUUUUUUCACCAGUUGCACCAAAAUGAUAUUGAUGUGUUGGUGAAUAAAGUCCAUAACAAAAUUCAGUUGAAAUGAAUUUGUGUGGGACCAGUUGACAAACAUUUGAUUUGUGUCAAUCUAAUUUGGAAAAAAAUUUUUACUACUCCAAAUAAAAUAUUGAAAGGUAAGCUUAAAUAUAUUGUUGAUCAGAAGUUUUUUUAGUUGGAUCAAUUGACAUUCAUUGUGUUACUCUUAUACAAGUUCAUUACAUUUUUUUGCUUUUAACUAACCUAAAACAAUUUUGUGGAAUCUGUUGAAAAAAUAAAUAUAAUUAAAAUCAAA